UUUUUUGGAAGAACACUGC
rnacentral:miRNA from 1 species